UGUGUAAAACACGAAACACGAAAACCCUGUUUCGGUUUGUUUUUUAGGUAUAAUUAAAAUCGAGGCUCCAAAUUCAACAUCUAUCUGCCCAAACUUUGCCCUUUCACUUUUGUGUGCCCACAUUUUAAAUCGAAUCAUUCCAAACUUCACAAGGUUGUGCAAGUUUGAAAUGUCCAAAUAUGCAAAGUGAUGCUAGUGUGAGCUACUAUAGCACGGUGAGAUUAACGUUAUGUUCGAGAAAUCUGUCAAUAGCAGAGUACAGAGGCCCCUAAGAACCUUGGCUGGGCACAAAGAGAGCGCCACGAGCGUCAGCUCCCCCAUAAUAGCAACAUCAACAUAUGACGCAGUAGCAACGAGUGUUGCCACCGGCAAAGUGCGUGUAGCCAACGAGAAACAGCAUAUGAUUUGGCUUUCAAUAGUUGCUGAAGGGUUUGCAUUGGCACGGAAUGUCAAACUCUGAAUGUUUACUGGUUUUCAAUUUUCUUCUAUGUUAUUUUUUUUCGCAAUUUUUGACUUAAUUCAAUUUUGCCUUUCAUGUGCUAGUGCAGUACACCUGGGGUCAGUGUUGGAUAUACUUCAUUUUUGUCGCUCCAUUGUCGCAAUAGAAUCAAUGCAUUUUGUAAAUAUGAAUUUGUGCCAAAAUAACGAAUAAAAG